AUGGAACUGUGUGCUGCUCAGAUGACAAGGCUUUGCAGAAAAGACAUGACCUUCUAUCGAUGUGACUGCUGCAGCCAAUAGCUGGCCUCAGCCGUCUCGUGCUUCACCAGAGUGGCAGGUGAUUAACAGUAAAAACAGUAGACUAAAGAAACAAUGUGGAAAACAGAUGGACGUCACCUGUCGAAG